GAAAGAAAGAUUAAUACCCGAUGGCAUAGUUCUUCCGCAUGGUGGAACUAUUAAAGAAUUUCGGUCAUCGAUGGGGAUGCGUUCCAUUAGGUUGUUGGCGGGGUAACGGCCCACCAAGCCUUCGAUGGAUAGGGGUUCUGAGAGGAAGGUCCCCCACAUUGGAACUGAGACACGGUCCAAACUCCUACGGGAGGCAGCAGUGAGGAAUAUUGGUCAAUGGACGAGAGUCUGAACCAGCCAAGUAGCGUGAAGGAUGACUGCCCUAUGGGUUGUAAACUUCUUUUAUACGGGAAUAAAGUGAGGCACGUGUGCCUUUUUGUAUGUACCGUAUGAAUAAGGAUCGGCUAACUCCGUGCCAGCAGCCGCGGUAAUACGGAGGAUCCGAGCGUUAUCCGGAUUUAUUGGGUUUAAAGGGAGCGUAGGCGGACGCUUAAGUCAGUUGUGAAAGUUUGCGGCUCAACCGUAAAAUUGCAGUUGAUACUGGGUGUCUUGAGUACAGUAGAGGCAGGCGGAAUUCGUGGUGUAGCGGUGAAAUGCUUAGAUAUCACGAAGAACUCCGAUUGCGAAGGCAGCUUGCUGGACUGUAACUGACGCUGAUGCUCGAAAGUGUGGGUAUCAAACAGGAUUAGAUACCCUGGUAGUCCACACAGUA
rnacentral:rRNA from 1 species